GCCGUCAUGGGCUAUGUAGGCCUGCCCCUUGUGAUUAGUUUGUGCUAGUUAACUUGAACGGGGCAACCGGGGGUUCGAUUCCUCCCGACGGCA